rnacentral:rRNA from 1 species
AUGAAUUCAAAAAAUGUUCUUGAAUUUAGAAAAUGUUUGAAAAAUCGUAAAAGUGUUGAUGAAUUUGAAAAAUGUUCACGAUUUCAGGUGUGUUCACGAGUUCAAGAAACUAUUCAUGAUUUCAUGAAAUUGACAGUGAUAGUGUUCUCGAUGGUGCAACAAAAUGUGAUCAUGACCAUUGCCGAUUAUGAUAUAUAUUUUUCUUCCAUUGCAACGCACGAGCCCUUUUGCUUGUGUGUGACUAUAUAUAUAUAUAUAGAGAGAGAGUGUGUGUGUGUGAGCAGAGACACGUGUAAAACAAAACUAGUACUAGUCCGGCUAGGAUUUGUACUUGGUCAGGUGCGAGGCUUUAUUCUUGGUCUUGGUCAGGUACGAGUACUAGUUGAGUUCGGCUCAACUUAA